UACGAAGGGGGCUAGCGUUGCUCGGAAUCACUGGGCGUAAAGCGCACGUAGGCGGCUUUCUAAGUCAGGGGUGAAAUCCUGGAGCUCAACUCCAGAACUGCCUUGAUACUGGAGAGCUAGAGUCCGGAAGAGGUGAGUGGAACUGCGAGUGUAGAGGUGAAAUUCGUAGAUAUUCGCAAGAACACCAGUGGCGAAGGCGGCUCACUGGUCCGGUACUGACGCUGAGGUGCGAAAGCGUGGGGAGCAAACAGG
rnacentral:rRNA from 1 species